GAUGAACGCUGGCGGCGUGCCUAAUACAUGCAAGUCGAGCGAACGGACGAGAAGCUUGCUUCUCUGGUGUUAGCGGCGGACGGGUGAGUAACACGUGGAUAACCUACCUAUAAGACUGGGAUAACUUCGGGAAACCGGAGCUAAUACCGGAUAAUAUUUUGAACCGCAUGGUUCAAAAGUGAAAGACGGUCUUGCUGUCACUUAUAGAUGGAUCCGCGCUGCAUUAGCUAGUUGGUAAGGUAACGGCUCACCAAGGCAACGAUGUAUAGCCGACCUGAGAGGGUGAUCGGCCACACUGGAACUGAGACACGGUCCAGACUCCUACGGGAGGCAGCAGUAGGGAAUCUUCCGCAAAGGGCGAAAGCCUGACGGAGCAACGCCGCGUGAGUGAUGAAGGUCUUCGGAUCGUAAAACUCUGUUAUUAGGGAAGAACAUAUGUGUAAGUAACUGUGCACAUCUUGACGGUACCUAAUCAGAAAGCCACGGCUAACUACGUG
rnacentral:rRNA from 1 species